GGGCCUGGCUGCCUGGAUUUCCGCCAACUACAUGGGCAUGGGCAAGAGUGCAGCGGAUGCGCUGCCGGAGUUGCGCCGCAAGGGCAUCACCGCCAGCGGCAACAACUAUGUGAUGGGCGGCCAAGUGAUGAGCGCGCCAGAGAUCGCCAGCGCUCUGCGGUUGCAGGUGAUUGCAUUAUCUUCUCUGGAAAGCCUUGCUCAUACCUGUUGGUGUUUUGUUGGAUUGCUUUCAUAAAGGCUGGCUUCAUGCAGUGCUUCGUGACAGAAACGUGCACGUAGAAGGCCACAAAAAGCAAGUGAAGCAAUGUACUCUUGUCGGCAUGCAGGUAGGUCUCGAUGCCUGACCGCAGACUAGGUUGAUGGAAUCUCUGCAGAAUGUGUUAUUCAGUUGAAAAAGAAAAGAAAAGAAUGUGGGCAGUGAAAACACUCCCCACAUCAGUAGAUCAAGUGACUGAAAGCAUGUUCUAGUCUUUACAUCUCACUGGCAUUGUGCAGGCCCGCACCCCCAGCCGACCAUCAUCCCCUCAGCCA
rnacentral:lncRNA from 1 species